rnacentral:tRNA from 1 species
GACAGUUUAGCUUAAUUGUAAAGCACUGGGCCGGAGUCUUCUAUAGUUGUAGGUUCAAGCCCUAUGGCUGUUG